ensembl:snRNA U1 U1 spliceosomal RNA
AUACUUACCUGGCAGAGGAGAUACCAUGAUCAUGAAGGUGGUUUUCUCAGGGUGAGGCUCAUUUAUUGAACUGCGGGUCUGCUGACCUCUGUGAUUUCCCCAAAUAUAAUUUAUAAUUUGUAGUAGUGGGGGACUGCAUUCACACUUUCCGCUG